GCUAAGGGUUUUGUUUUAAGCAAAUUUAUUUGGGAAAAAAAUCUCUAUGGCAUAUAAUAAAGGUUUUUUUUCCUGCCAACUCUUAGAAAGUACUGGAAAUUUAUAUUACAUGUAUGACUAAAUAUAUGCAUGCAUAUAUAUCUGAGCAUGCAUAUAAUGCAAAUUCAGUGCCAGUUUAAAAAAAUAUUCUUUCAGUUCCUUUUAUUAGAGGAAGACUGCACUUUGCAAAAUAAGACAAUUGGCACAGUUCAGAGAAAGGUUAGUGAAAUAUUAGUAAUGGAAGCCAGUGUAGUCAUUUGAAAGAAGCUGAACUGUCAUAAAGUCUUACACAUGGAACGAUGUUUGGCCAUCUUCUAAAGAGUUUGGACCUGCUGAAGAACUGACUUGACUAUCUUGAUGAGGGAGUUGAAGAAAUCCUUCACUGGAGUCUGAGCAGGAUUUUGGAAGUGUUACCUUCUGCAGAAUCUAUACUACUCCGAAGUUCUUCUACAGUUUUUGUCAAACUCUGGUUUUCCAUUUCUAAUUUCAAUAAACUACUUGAUGUCAAUUC